UGAAAGGGUGUUUGGUUGCUAUAGACAGCAGGACGGUGCCUAUGGAAGUCGGAAUCCCGCUAAGGAGUGUGUAACAACUCACCCUGCCGAAGCAACUAGCCCUGAAAAUGGAUGGCGCUUCAGCGUCGACCCCAUACCCGUCCGCCGCGGCGGAGAUGCGAUCGCAUUAUGCCGCGGUGAGUAGGAGGGCGCGGGGGCGCGCGUGGAAGGUGCCGGGCGUAAGCCCGCCUGGAGCCGCCCCCGGUGCAGAUCUUGGUGGUAGUAGCAAAUACUCAAGUGAGAACCUUGAGGACUGAGGUGGAGAAGGGUUCCAUGUGAACAGCAGUUGAACAUGGGUCAGUCGGUCCUAAGGGAUGUCCGAAAGGAUUUCCGAAGGGGGACUUUAUGUAGGAGGGUCCCGCCCAUGACCGAAAGGGAAUCGGGUUAAUAUUCCCGAACCCGGACACGGAGAUCGGCCCCCUCGGGGGCACGUGCGGUAACGCAAACGACCUCGGAGACGUCGACGGGGGUCCCGGGAAGAGUUGUCUUUUCUUUGUAAGGGCUCGGUUCCCUGGAAUCGGCUCGCCCGGAGAUAGGGAUGCUGAGCCCGUAAAGCACCGCGCCUCUUGCGGUGUCCGGAGCGCUCCCGUCGGCCCUUGAAAAUCCGAGCGAGAGUUGGUGAUUUUCGUGCCGGACCGUACCCAUAUCCGCAGCA
rnacentral:rRNA from 1 species